CCGAUGGCGACCGGCGCACGGGUGAGUAACACGUAUCCAACCUGCCGAUGACUCGGGGAUAGCCUUUCGAAAGAAAGAUUAAUACCCGAUGGCAUAGUUCUUCCGCAUGGUAGAACUAUUAAAGAAUUUCGGUCAUCGAUGGGGAUGCGUUCCACUAGGUUGUUGGCGGGGUAACGGCCCACCAAGCCUUCGAUGGAUAGGGGUUCUGAGAGGAAGGUCCCCCACAUUGGAACUGAGACACGGUCCAA
rnacentral:rRNA from 1 species